UACGGAGGAUGCAAGCGUUAUCCGGAAUUAUUGGGCGUAAAGGGUCCGUAGGUGGUGAAUCAAGUCUGCUGUCAAAGUGCAGAGCUUAACUCUGUAAAGGCAGUGGAAACUGAUUAACUAGAGUGCGGUAGGGGUAGAGGGAAUUCCAGGUGUAGCGGUGAAAUGCGUAGAUAUCUGGAAGAACACCAGUGGCGAAGGCGCUCUACUGGGCCUGCACUGACACUGAGGGACGAAAGCUAGGGGAGCGAAAGGGAUUAGAUACCCCGUAGUCC
rnacentral:rRNA from 1 species